AAGAGGAGGAGAGGCGCGACUGGAGCGGCGCAGCGUCGGCUUCCCGGUGGUGGACGCAGCUAGCAACUGCAGGCGACGCUGGCCAAACGGACCGGACUCGGGUUUCCCAAAAGUCAGGCUGGAGAGGUUUGGCACCACCCAAGACCACUCAGCAGAACCCUCAUCACCCGCCCACCCCCCUCUUCUGGCAUCAUCAUCUUCCUGGCAACUGGCCCGUUUUGGUCACUCCCUGCCGUCGGCUGGUCCCGUCUCAUCCUCACAGCCCCUCUGAGGUGCUUUUGUGUGCAGGUGGGCAAACCUCACCGAGCAGGGUUGUUGUAAGAGUCAAAUGGGAGUGUGGAUAGAGUUGAUUGUUCAUUCAACAAGCGCCCACCAUAUGCAAGGCACCCUCUUAGGCAGCAGGGAGGCCACAACAAGUGAGACUACAAUCCAGUUGGAAGGAAGGGGCUUAAGACCAGAGCAGUGAACAGCAGCAGCUUUGGAGCCAGAGAGACCUGGGUACGAAUCCCACUCUGCUACUUACUAGCUGUGUGACCUUGGGCAGGCUUCCCAGCCUCCCUCUUCCUCAGAUCUGUCAAUCGGGAACAGGAAAGCUAAGAGACUGAGGCAAAGCAAUAAAGAUAACUGGCUUGCCUGAUACUGAGCACUUAGUACGAGCUCAGUGAAUGUGCCUGUUUGUGCAAAGCGCUGACGAGGCGGGUGGAGAGGAGGGGGCCACUCUGCCUGGGGGUGGGCGCUGAAUGGGACAAGAAGGGCUGUAUCCUGAAGGCUCCGAGGGGUCGGUGAAGGUCUGAAGGUUAGACAGGGACAGCAUUUGUGUCUCAGAAAGAUCCCUCUGGCUCAACUGAGGGACAAGACCAGAGCCAGGCCCUGGCCAGCGUGGCCUGGUUGGUU